ACUAAAAAAUGACCAGUGCUAGCCUAAACCUAGGGAAAAACUUUUAUAAACAGGCUUUCUGUGUUUUUAAGCCUGGGUUGUUUCUGCGGACUUGCAUGUUAUUGAAACACCUAUGCCUAAGCGGCUAAACGAAGGUUAUGAGUCUUCAGUUUUAGUUUACUGGAGGACUGGCAUCAGUGUGGCUUUUUGGUGAGAUCCUGAAGUAUAUAUUAUCUUAGGGAUUUUUAUUCAAAGAAAAAAUGUAAGAGGAAACCUCAACAUUAAUGUAAAGAAAAACCCCAGGGUAUCAAGAAAGAGAAAAGACUCACUUUAUAAAUAAGAGAUUGGUCAACUACAUCCCUAUCUUUCAUAUAUGGACAAUUAAUUAAGCAAUCCUCUGUAGAGACAUUAUAGAAAUGCCUCCGGGCCAAGGGCACCUCGUGGGCCAGGUCUGAAUGUUGUUUAAAAAUGUGUAUUAUUGAGCAAAGUAAGUUCAUGUGCCUGUGAUUUUGAAUCUUUGUCACUGAACAAUAGAUAAAUUUGGCUACUGUGUAAAAGCAACUGUAUUAUUGCUAUAUGCUUCUUUGUUAUAGACUCAUAGACUUUAAGGUCAGCAGGGACCAUUAUGAUCAUCU